rnacentral:rRNA from 1 species
GAUGAACGCUGGCGGCGUGCCUAAUACAUGCAAGUCGAGCGAACGGACGAGAAGCUUGCUUCUCUGAUGUUAGCGGCGGACGGGUGAGUAACACGUGGAUAACCUACCUAUAAGACUGGGAUAACUUCGGGAAACCGUAGCUAAUACCGGAUAAUAUUUUGAACCGCAUGGUUCAAAAGUGAAAGACGGUCUUUCUGUCACUUAUAGAUGGAUCCGCGCUGCAUUAGCUAGUUGGUAAGGUAACGGCUUACCAAGGCAACGAUGCAUAGCCGACCUGAGAGGGUGAUCGGCCACACUGGAACUGAGACACGGUCCAGACUCCUACGGGAGGCAGCAGUAGGGAAUCUUCCGCAAUGGGCGAAAGCCUGACGGAGCAACGCCGCGUGAGUGAUGAAGGUCUUCGGAUCGUAAAACUCUGUUAUUAGGGAAGAACAAAUGUGUAAGUAACUAUGCACGUCUUGACGGUACCUAAUCAGAAAGCCACGGCUAACUACGUG